UUUUUUUUUUUGUAACCGAAGUUAUCAGUUCUUCCUGAAUAGGAUUAAGGUAGAUAACAUCAUGUAAUUAACAAGAGAUGCAGAAAAGUGAAAGUGCAAUUUGUUUAAGAAUUAUAUGAGGGAAAAUGAUAAUUUCUUACCUUGGACUUUUAAGGGAUACAAAGAGAAGCAAAAUGGAGCAAUUGUUUGAAAGGAUUAAGGUAGUCUUUUCUUUCAAAAGAUAAAAUUACAUUAGUACUAAAAAUUCUCUUAAGUGAAGUCUUUACAGCUCACUAACAGUCUUAGAAUACUUCUGCAUCUGCUGGAGAAAUUGGUCGUUUAUUAUCCUUUCUAUUUAUGAAAUGAUAGAUGUUAUUAAAUGAAUGAUCACAUCAGGAGAACUCCUUAGGUGGUCAGCACCAGCCUUGGGAACCGUAGUUUCCUUGGCGUUACUCGGGCACACAUCGGCCACAGCGGAAGCGGUGUGUGAGGGCAGAGGAGCACUUUAUAAUGCCGGAGUCUGAAAAUGUGGGUUCCUUUUUGAGUUACUUAGGAUCAGAUCCGAGCUGUACUUGUGACCUGUGCUGCAGCUGCGGCAACACCGGAUCCUUAACCCACCGUGUGGAGCCCGGGGUCGAACCUGUAUCCGGGGCUGCAGAGAUGCUGCGGAUCCCGUCAAGCCACAGCAGGAACCCCGAAACUUGAGAUUCUUUACCCUUUAAAGGAAAAGUUACUGGUUAUACCAGUUUCUUGGUGCUGUAUGUGUGAAAGAUAGGGUUUGUACUUGGUUUGUCAGGAUAUGAAUGAGGCUGCGUGUAACAGAAAACUCAGUGAAUAGUGACUUUAAAAAACAAGUGUUGUAUUGUUUGCAUAAGGAGAAAAUUCUUCAGGGUGGGUAGGGCAGUUCUGUGAUGUUACCAGAGAUCUUUUCUCCUUUCCAAGUUCCGGGCUGGAAGACGAGUGGGGCCGGCCCCGAGAGGCAGCCCCUGAUGAGCCUCCUUGAGGCCCCAUCCCGCAGUGCCAGCUGGUCUUGUAGUCCCCUGGCCACCCGCCUCAUCAAGUCUUUGAGCUGGGCACAGUGGCGGUGUCCUUCUAUUACGAAGGAAGAAGUGAGAAUUUAUACUGGGUAAGCAGUUAGUAGUCUUUUCCACGUGGCUAAAACUUAUGGGCAGAAUUUAAGUUGUGUAACUCCUGAGAAAGUGAAUCUGUCUUCAAAACAGAACAGAAAACAGCGAGGAAAAGUGGUGUUGUGAGCUCAGUGGAACCUGCUACAUGUUAGCUUUUUGUUUCAUGAGCCAUACCAAUAGCGGGCAGCGAGCAGCUUUUAUUUCGGACCUUAAAGAUGAGAAUGUUUACUUUUGCUCACGUGUCCAGGCUCUCAAGUUCUGCUAUCUGCCGAGGCACAUGGAGGCAGUUAGGGGCCUGCAUGUUUUCCCAGAUGGCUUCUCCCUUAUGUCAGCAUGGUCUGGCAUCUCCAGAGAACUGUUGUGACAGCGUUUGGUUCAUGCAUUAUCCGUGUCGUACUUCCUGAGCAGUACCUUGUAUCAGCUGCUCCCUUUUUCUACCCUUCUGCCACCUGGCUCUUAGGCAGGCAUUUGGCGUCUUGGAAGCGGGCUUCUUCCUGGUUUGAUUGGAUGCAUUUAUCAAUAAUGCUGUCUCUUUCCCAGUUGGGCUUCCUCAUCUUCACACCUUGGGGUGGCUUUCAGCCUCUUUGGGGCCUGCACGUGGCCUGCUUUGGUCUUACCUGGCCCCUGCUGUCCUGCACCUGGCUAUCCCAGGAAGCCACACCUUGCCAGUGUCACUUUGUUUCAAGGUGAAGCCCACAAAACCCCACUUUUUCCAUUCUUUAGUCUAUUGAGCCAACUUCUAAAGGCAGAAAUGUCCUUGUUUACUCAGCUUGAGUCAGCUUUCUUUCCCAGCUGUAGAUCCCAUCUCUAGUCCUACUUGCUUUAUCAAUCGCAGAGCUUGAUCAGAUAAGAACUGCUAAUUUCUUGACCCAUUCAAGCCAGCCAUGAAUUUCCGUGGAUGUCUGACUUUGGACCUGCUUUAGUACUUGCUGUUUUUCUUGACUCUGAAGUACCCACACUCACACAGUUACACAUACUGGCGUGAUUAUGAAACAAAGAGAAGAGGGGUGUCAGGUAAGUCUUUACCAUUUACUGUUGGUAACAAGCAGCGGAUGGCAAAGUGGGUAGGUAUCCGUGCUCCCGACAUAGUGACCUGGGGCAGUGCCUGGGCUCUGGGGCUUUCUCUCCUCAUAUAUUGUGCAGGCUGUUUAAAUGCUCAAAAGGGUUUUUGUGAGCAGAGCACCUGCCUUGUAGGGUUGCUUCCCGGAUGGAGUGAGACAGUGGAGGAGCUCUCUGCAGUGUGAGCAGCAGCAGUCGUGAGGGCUGAGCCUUAGGUUGGUGGCCGCAGAGCGGGAGAGGGGCAUUUGAGGUGCCCGGGCCUAGGUAAGGGCAGAGGGUGGAGGAAGAGGGUGGUGGAGCAGGGCUGAGAGGCCCUGGCCUGGUCCCUGGGGGUAGGGCUCUGGAGCUUAAGUCCUACUUAGGCUUGUCCAUCCUGGGGUGGAGGGCAGACAGUGUGGCCAUGUCGCACAGUCCUUGGCCAAGCAGCUGCCAUCUGCCAGGAUGGCAUUUGUAGCUUCUGGGGCAUGUGGUGCAAUGACGAGGACCCGGCGAUGCCCCAGGGCCUCCAGCAUGGGGGACUUGGCUGCAGUGGACUGACUAACAGCCCUCAGCCUGUGGCUCAGCACCGCGAAGUUCAUUUCUCACUCACAUCCGCCUCUGGGCGCCUUCUUCUGGCCCUCAGGGGCCUCCGUCCACUGGCAGGUGGGGAGGUUGUCUUUCCUCGACCAGGUCUAGGCUGCUGCUCACAUGCUGUUUGCCAGAACUUGGCCAUAUCGGCUGGCGGCUCUCCUUGUGGUUUCAUGAUUGUCACGUCUUCCAAGUGCCUGCUUCUCCAGUCCAGUCUGCAGCCAAGACAUGCUGGAGGAGACCCUGCCAGCUGCCCACCAGAACCGCCCCGCUCCAGCGCUGUUGCAUCACUGGCCUAGAGGUUCACUUCCUCCCCUGCCGCUCGGUUAGAGGAUUAGCUUCUGAUUGGUCCCGCCGCACUGGCUGGGCUCCGAGCGCCUGCCGCUCAGGAGCCCCGGGAGUGGGAGUCGAUGGCCGUGCAGGGACCCGCCCAGCCCCCUGCCUUUACCGCCUUCCUGACGCUUUCGGUCGCUGUGGUCUGCGUGCUCCCCGGCGGCCGGUGCUCAGCCUGCUGUGCUGUGUCCUGGAUGCGAUGCAGGGCCGGGCUUGCAGGCCGUUCACGCACCCCUAAGUGUUCGUCAGGGUCUGUGCUGGGCAGGGGGAGGUGGGAGAGGCUCUCAGGGAGACCGAGGCGGGGAAACGCCCAGGGCUGGGGAGCCCCGGAUCCGGGAAGGGCUUCCGGUGGGAGCGCAGAGUGAGCGCGCAGGAAGGAAACGCCCCUCGCGGGCUUGUCAGAUGCUGUGUGUCGUAUGUACUGUAUGUACCGUGUGGGGUGCUGUCUGCAGGAGCGUCGCGUCAGAGCGAUGCCGCGGGCGCAGCGAGCUUUGCUCUUUGUUGGGCCCCGUCCUGAGGACCGUGCACCGGGUAUGGCUUCUCCCCUGCGGUGGGUACUGUCUGCUGUCCCUGCUAGAGAGGAGGAGGCCCAGGCCGCAGAGGUUCGCCGGCUGCGCCCAGCAGUCUGGUCCGGAGCUGGAGCAGGAUGGACGGUCGUCUGGACUCUGGCGUAAAGUUCUAGGUAGACGUUCCUGAGGAGGACGCGCUCCCGGGGCUUCUGUGCUGUCAGUGCAGGUGCCACUGCAGCCGAGCAGCACGCGGAUGGUUUGUAGAAGGAAGGCAGGCUUGGGGAAGAGGCGAAGUGUUUAAUACCAACAAAUAUUUUAGGAGUUAGGAAUACUCAGAAUGAUCUCCCAGGAAAUCUGAAAGUGCUUCAAGACCCAAGAAGUAAUAUGCCCAGUUCUCAGGCAGCUGGAAAACUAACCACUUCAGUCUCUCUCUGAGUUCAUUCUCACAACCCAGGAACUGCGUCCUCCUAGAAAUGGAUGAAGGGGUGGAGGAGAGAAUGCUUUCCCUCAUCUCCGCCUGUGGCAAAGUAAAAAUCAAAAUUUAGCAGACCUUCUACUUAGCGUGGAGGGGAAGCCAGUCUGCUUUUCCACUUAGAUUUUGCCUUAUCUGUAAUGAGAAACCUGUCUUUGGAAGGACUUGAAAUUAACUGUCUACUGGAGGGUUAUCAAGAGCCCUGUUGCAGCAGCCACAUGACCGCUGCCGUUCAGAGCUGCUCAGUGGGGUGAGACUUGGGGCCCCGCAGUGCAGUCACGGAACCGAUAGUAACGACAGGCCUCCCAGCGAGCUGGGGUGCGCCUGGGAGGAGGAGUGGCCAGGAGUAUCAGGCUUCGCAUGUUAAAUGAUGAAGAGAGCCAUGUGUCUUUGUCAAGACAGACAAGUUAAAGGCCUCAUCUGAGCUUCUUAAUGGGAACAAAAUGAGGGAAGCAGAACGGAGAGUCUGCCGCUGCCUGGUCUCCGUGGAGCAAGUGCAGGCAGCGGUUCCGGAAGACCGUGGUGUGGGCCCAGCUCUGCUCCUAGCACCGACGCUGCAGAUGUCGACGCGUGAAAGCCACGUGGGUCCUGCAGGGACUCACCCGGGACAGAAGGGGAGGUGGGUGGAGCUGGCAGCAGGCCACACUGUGCUGCGGGCGGGGCGGGGGGGGGCGUGGUUGCAGCUCCCAGCAGCAGCUUUGCUUUACCCUUUGUUGGAGCUGGUGAGACACUUGAGUUAGUGGGAAGUUUCCCCGGGGAGCGCUCUGCUGUCUGUCCAUACAACACAGCCCUUAAGGACUCAAUGGAAUAGCCCCAUAUAGAUGGCUGCUAGUAAUUAGCAACAGGCUCAUGGUUCGUGCCGGAGAAUUCUGUGUAGACAGGUACGUGCAAGUGGAGAGGACAGAAAGGAAGUGAGAACUUGGAGAGCACCGUUGGGGUCACCUGGGGGACUGGGUAGAGGCGUCUUACCCUCUAGCAGGGUUGGAGAGGGCUGGCCGUGGGGGUUGGGAACAGAGAUGCUCCAGGGCUGGAAAGCGUCCUGGCCAGCAGGAAGAGCUGGCCGGGAAGAGGUAAAAACUCUGACGGACGGUGCUGGGCCAGUUGGGAUUAAAGGAGACAUGUAGUGAUUCUGCUGCUGCAGUCUGUAGAGAAGCAGGACGCUGGGGUCUGCCUGUGGAUGGUGCUCUGAGGGUUUCCUGAAACGCUGUUGGCAUGAGGGUGAAGCAGGGGCAGGAGGAAAUGAAGUUUCCAUGCCGAGGGGUUUUGGCUGAAACAGAAGCACAGAGUGAACGUUUCCCAGAGAAAUCAGUGGAAUAUGGGAGUUUGUAUGUGACGUGGUGGUUUCCAGUGUUCACAUUCUGUGUUGGCUCUAGACUAUCAUUUUCAUGUCUAAGUUGGGAAAAUUUGGUUUUAAAAAUCCCAAAUUUAGUAAUUUUGAUCAGAUUUAUAUCAUAUGAUUGA
rnacentral:lncRNA from 1 species